rnacentral:rRNA from 1 species
AUUGAACGCUGGCGGCAUGCCUUACACAUGCAAGUCGAACGGCAGCACGGGAGCAAUCCUGGUGGCGAGUGGCGAACGGGUGAGUAAUAUAUCGGAACGUGCCCAGUAGUGGGGGAUAACUGCUCGAAAGAGCAGCUAAUACCGCAUACGACCUGAGGGUGAAAGGGGGGGAUCGCAAGACCUCUCGCUAUUGGAGCGGCCGAUAUCAGAUUAGCUAGUUGGUGGGGUAAAGGCCUACCAAGGCAACGAUCUGUAGUUGGUCUGAGAGGACGACCAGCCACACUGGGACUGAGACACGGACCAGACUCCGACGGGAGGCAGCAGUGGGGAAUUUUGGACAAUGGGCGCAAGCCUGAUCCAGCAAUGGCGCGUGCAGGAAGAAGGCCUUCGGGUUGUAAACUGCUUUUGUCAGGGAAGAAAUCCUCUAGGUUAAUACCCUUGGGGGGAUGACGGUACCUGAAGAAUAAGCACCGGCUAACUACGUGCCAGCCGCCGCCGUAACAC